AUUGAACGCUUGCGGCAGGCCUAAAACAUGCAAGUCGAACGAGUGGCGGACGGGUGAGUAAUGUCUGGGAAACUGCCCGAUGGAGGGGGUUAACUACUGGAAACGGUAGCUAAUACCGCAUAUACUCGGAUUUGCCGCAAUGGGAUUAGCUUGUAGGUGAGGUAACAGCUCACCUAGGCGACGAUCCCUAGCUGGUCUGAGAGGAUGAACAGCCAGACUGGAACUGAGACACGGGCCAGACCCCUACGGGAGGCAGCAGUGGGGAAUAUUGCACCAUGGGCGCAAGCCUGAUGCAGCCAUGCCGCGUGUAUGAAGAAGGCCUUCGGGUUUUAAAGUACUUUCAGCGGGGAGGCGUUACCCGCAGAAGAAGCACCGGCUAACUCCGUGCCAGCAGGCGCGGUAAUUC
rnacentral:rRNA from 1 species